UACGGAGGGUGCAAGCGUUAAUCGGAAUUACUGGGCGUAAAGCGUGCGCAGGCGGUUUUGUAAGUCUGUCGUGAAAGCCCCGGGCUCAACCUGGGAACUGCAUCUGAUACUGGCAAGCUUGAGUCUCGUAGAGGGGGGUAGAAUUCCAGGUGUAGCGGUGAAAUGCGUAGAGAUCUGGAGGAAUACCGGUGGCGAAGGCGGCCCCCUGGACGAAGACUGACGCUCAGGUGCGAAAGCGUGGGGAGCAAACAGG
rnacentral:rRNA from 1 species